GACGAACGCUGGCGGCGUGCUUAACACAUGCAAGUCGAACGAGCGGCGGACGGGUGAGUCAUGUGUGGGGCCUGCCCGAUCGAGGGGGAUAACUACUGGAAACGGUGGCUAAUACCGCAUACUGUCGGAUCACCCAUAGGGGAUUAGCUAGUAGGUAAGGUAAUGGCUUACCUAGGCGACGAUCCCUAGCUGGUCUGAGAGGAUGAUCAGCCACACUGGGACUGAGACACGGCCCAGACUCCUACGGAGGCAGCAGUGGGGAAUAUUGCACAAUGGGCGCAAGCCUGAUGGAGCCAUGCCGCGUGUAUGAAGAAGGCCCUAGGGUUGUAAAGUACUGUCAGUCGGGAGGCGGUACCGAAAGAAGAAGCACCGGCUAACUCCGUGCCAGCCGCCGCGGUAAUAC
rnacentral:rRNA from 1 species